GUUUAGAAUUGAUUAUAUUCCAUUAGCAUUUAGACAGUCUGUCCAACCCCCGUUCUCCUUAUCACUUGGUUUGUAUAUACUAUGCAUUCCUUUAGGUCUGGGAAAGUGGUUAGUUUUACAGAUAGAAAUCUUGUGUCUUUUUGUUAACUUGGAAAUAACAAAAUGGAGUCUGCUCUGUUUAGAGUGACUCAGCAUAUACACUUUUAAUUUCUAUCAUAGCACAAGAUGUCUGCCGAUAUAAAUACCCUGACAGUAAAUUCAGUCAAGCUGCAGUAAGGGAAGUGUUGUGACUGAGGAUAAUGGGGAUCUCUGUGUGUUAGAGGGGCUGUGAGGGAGGGUAAUGGGGGUCUCUGGGUGGGUUUAGGAUAUGAGGGAGGAUAAUGGGGGUCUCUGGGUGGGUUUAGGAUAUGAGGGAGGGUAAUGGAUGGGGCUCUGGGUGGGUUUAGGAUAUGAGGGAGGAUAAUGGGGGUCCCUGGGUUGGUUUAGGAUAUAAGGGAGGAUAAUGAGAGGCUCUGGGUGGGUUUAGGAUAUGAGGGAGGAUAAUGGGGGGCUCUGGGUGGGUUUAGGAUAUGAGGGAGGGUAAUGGGUG